rnacentral:rRNA from 1 species
GAUGAACGCUGGCGGCGUGCCUAAUACAUGCAAGUCGAGCGAACAGACGAGGAGCUUGCUCCUCUGACGUUAGCGGCGGACGGGUGAGUAACACGUGGAUAACCUACCUAUAAGACUGGGAUAACUUCGGGAAACCGGAGCUAAUACCGGAUAAUAUAUUGAACCGCAUGGUUCAAUAGUGAAAGACGGUUUUGCUGUCACUUAUAGAUGGAUCCGCGCCGCAUUAGCUAGUUGGUAAGGUAACGGCUUACCAAGGCAACGAUGCGUAGCCGACCUGAGAGGGUGAUAGGCCACACUGGAACUGAGACGCGGUCCAGACUCCUACGGGAGGGAGCAGUAGGGAAUCUUCCGCAAUGGGCGAAAGCCUGACGGAGCAACGCCGCGUGAGUGAUGAAGGUCUUCGGAUCGUAAAACUCUGUUAUUAGGGAAGAACAAAUGUGUAAGUAACUAUGCACGUCUUGACGGUACCUAAUCAGAAAGCAACGGCUAACUACGUG